GAGGCAGACCUGGGUUGAACAGUUAAAAUUUACUAGAAAGGAUAAAAGAAAAUAAUGGGCUAGUGAGAUGGCUCAGCGGGUAAGAGCACUGACUGCUCUUCCAAAGGUCCUGAAUUCAAAUCUCAGCAACCAUAUUGUGGCUCACAACCACCCGUAAUGAGAUCUGACACCCUCUUCUGGUGCAUCUGAAGACAGCUAUAGUACUUAUUUAUAAUAAAUAAAUCUUUGUAAAAAAAAAAAAGGAAAAAAAUACUAUCCAUCAGAGAAAUCAAAUACAUAAGUAUUUAAAAUC
rnacentral:lncRNA from 1 species